UGCCUGAUGGAGGGGGAUAACUACUGGAAACGGUAGCUAAUACCGCAUAACGUCGCAAGACCAAAGAGGGGGACCUUCGGGCCUCUUGCCAUCGGAUGUGCCCAGAUGGGAUUAGCUAGUAGGUGGGGUAACGGCUCACCUAGGCGACGAUCCCUAGCUGGUCUGAGAGGAUGACCAGCCACACUGGAACUGAGACACGGUCCAGACUCCUACGGGAGGCAGCAGUGGGGAAUAUUGCACAAUGGGCGCAAGCCUGAUGCAGCCAUGCCGCGUGUAUGAAGAAGGCCUUCGGGUUGUAAAGUACUUUCAGCGGGGAGGAAGGGAGUAAAGUUAAUACCUUUGCUCAUUGACGUUACCCGCAGAAGAAGCACCGGCUAACUCCGUGCCAGCAGCCGCGGUAAUACGGAGGGUGCAAGCGUUAAUCGGAAUUACUGGGCGUAAAGCGCACGCAGGCGGUUUGUUAAGUCAG
rnacentral:rRNA from 1 species